AUAUUCAGAGUAGGGCACUUCCUGAAAUACUCUUUGAAUCUUUUCCAUGCUUCUGGAUAGCUCUCAAGGUCCUUUUGCUUGAAAGUAUGGACUUCAUUUCGGACAU
rnacentral:snoRNA from 1 species